UGUUUCUGUCAUGUGUUCUGUAUGAUGAUGGGUUACCUUGUGUCUCAGGGCCUCCACCACCAGGUCACGAUUGCCUUGUAGACUUUCAUUCUGCUUAUAAGCCUGAAAGGUGUCACCAAUGAUAGACACCAGCAGAUGGGACUGACAGAAAGAAAAACAACGCAGAUCAACUCGAAAAAGAAUUUAAGGUUUGGAUCCUAAAAGGUAAGGGCUUGUACUGCAUCUGUCAGAAUCUGCAUCCCACCUGGACGGACCACCUGCAUACGACCCAAAAACUACACACAAUCCACAAACCCCAUACGUGAUUUUAUUUUGGAGCUUGACAAAAAAAGGUUUGUGAAGAUUCUUCAAACUUUCCACAGACAAAAUAACAGCAAACAGGUUUGGAAUGACAUGAGGAGGUCAGGCCUAAAUUUCUCAUGACCUGGAACUGGAUCAGUCUCACCUUUUCGAUGAUCCCACCAUGACCUCUUGCAGAAACACCUCCAUGUUAAGCGACUGCCCACAGGAAGUGAGUCCUUUUGGGAGGAAAUGGCUCCCAGAUGUGUGGAGGUGACCCAGAGCUCUGAAGAGAGAGGUGAGCGAAGUAUCCCAAUAUCCCAGAGGACAUCAUGCUUCAACUACAAGCCAACAAUCUUUUCCUUCAUCUAAUGGAGCAAUACAACAAAAUGCCAAAAAAAAAAAAAAAGACCCUCCACCAUCUAAAGGAACUAAGAUUGUUCAGACUAUUCCACACGACUCUGAAUCAAACUCUGGAAAUGACUCUGAUUGAGUGGCAGAGUGCUGAUUUGAGAUCAGCGUUCAUUGACUUUGAUUAUGUAUGGACACGCAGAGGCAGACAUUGACUGUCAUGAGGACUCUACACUUAUAGCUAACCUAUACCAGCUAGCCUGAUGGAAAAAUGCUACGUAGACUCACUAUAUUCCCUGAUAUACAGAUCUGAUCAUUUCAGAGUUGUUGCGCUUGUCAUUUAUGCUGUAUAUUAGCCAACAUUAUUGCUUCUGUGACAGUGUAACAAUUGUGUCAUGGUAUAUACCACAU